UAAAAUUCUGCAUGUAGCUAAAUAUAAGGGAUCAGAGCCAAUUAUUAAUCCAAGUAAGAGCGAAUGAACAGCAAGCACUAAAAACUAAAACAUCAAAUGUCUUUAUUGUCAAAUCAGUCUCUGACAUAAAAGAAAACCCAACACAACCAGUGACGUUCAACAUCUACCAGGGUUAGAUUGGCUACAAAUCAUUUUAAUCAUUGAAACAUAUGACAAUUAAAUACGAUUUCAUUGAUUCUCCUGUUGCUAAACAUGAGUUUGAUGAAAGCUUUGUGACAAUAUUGCGUUUACUAAUCUCUGGAAGUGUGAUCCAGCUGAGUGACGAGGCUCUUACAGUUUCCCCAGCAGAAGUCACCAGUGAGCGACGAAUGAAGCAGCGAGUAACGAACCUGUUUGCAAAGCAGAGGGUUGAAAAGCUUCAUUGCUUCACCAGGCUUCAUUUGCCCGUCACUACUAAACAGAACAAACAUGUAAUAACCUCUUUUAAAACCAAAUACAGAAUGAAACGCAAAUAAAUCCCCCCCAUGAAGCGGCGGCUCGUAUGCUGCAUGUAGGAAACUGGUACCUUAUCCAUCCAGAUUCACUUUUGCAAGUGCAUCUGCACAGAUGUGAUUGGAGAAAGCUUCAUUUAUCUGAAAUGUGGCAAAGACUAUGGCCAGCCUUUGCCACUGGGGGGCCAUAAAGCAAAGGCCAACUCGUUCCUGAAAAGAAUAGGAAGCAACUUAACAGCACACAAACCAACUUAGCUUAAGAUGAGUUAUCCAUUUUGAGAAAAUAGAGCUGAGAAACGUAAAGCAGCCACGAAUGAACGAGAAAGGAAACCAGGUUGUAUUUUUAGCAGCUUUCAAACGCACAGCGUUAUCUGCACACCCAGUUUUGAAGCACUGGCCUCUCAUACUUCCUCCUGUUUAAACUUCCUGCUGGUUACCCAGCUGGUAAAGCUUGUAUAGCUCACAAAAGUCAACUAAACAUGGACAAACAAAAGUUGGCAACACUAUUCAACAUUGCAGUUGAAAUAACCAUCUGAAAAGUGUGGUGUGCUAGUUGAAUGUCAGUUUUCUUACAGUCCAAAAGUGCAAGGAAAACGUCUGGACAGUGACACUUUGACACUUACUGACGGCCCAGAUGAACCAUCUAAAAACGUAAACUCUGAGUCUCUAAGCGAAUCCGGAACAGUCCAAAAGUAACUUUACCUUCAUAUGCAGCUGCACACGUCUCAGGAGAAACAGCUGGAGCGUAAAAAGAAGGAGAAAAAUAAAAUAAAAUAAAAAAUAAAAAAAGAAGCAAACAUAGUUAAAGUACAACAACAAAAGAAUAAAGAUUUAAAAGAACAUCAUUUCUCUUUUGGCAACGUUGUCCUUCGUAGUUCACGUCAACCUUCGACAACGGGGCGACCUCUCUGCACCCUGACCCGCUGAGAAAUGACCCGCAGAACCAAGAAACUGUACCGGAUCGAUUCAAUACGUCUGAUCCGUUUUUAAAAUUUUAUCACCACAUUAUUUCACUUCCAGCAGGAUUGAUUUUUUUUUUAUUAUUAUUAUUUAUAUGAAAUAGGUGGGUUCUUUAAUCUGUAGAGACGGGUGACAGUCUUCAAGCCUUAAAGUGACGAUGAGGCUGUUGAAGGAAAUUUAGAAAAAAAAACUAAUUAUGCAGCUAGAUUCAGUUUUUAGACCCCAAAAAAAAGAAUUUGAUCAAAUGAAAUAUUCCACCAGCCAAAGCUCGUUCAUUCUCAAUUCCGUUUUAAUUAAUUUCACAGUGUGAUUAUUAAUGUUGUUCAUUCUUGUACGGUUUAAAAUACCGUUUUAAGUGCAUUCAUCAAAAAAAAAGGCAGGCAUAUAACAUGAAAAUAUAUGUGCUUUUAUAAUCAUAAUAACACUUCCAUUGUAAAGAAUUUGAGGCUAAUAAAAAUGAACAAGCUUAUUUAAUUAGACUGAUAAUUCUAAUUAGGACCUGUAUAAAUAAAUAAUUAAGGCUACAAUUAAUGAUUAACAACUUUAUGAGGCCUACCACUUUACCACAUACUAUUAUUACACAUGGACAGUGUGUAAACAUUAACUGCAUGCUAACCGUUAUUCUUUCAUAACAAAUCUUUUUCUUUUGACUUCAGAAGUAAAAGCAAAGCCCCAAAUCAAGGGAAAAGUCAUAAAACACACCAAUGCAAAUGGAUGAAUCAACCUUUACCCUCCGUUCCAUUAAGUUUAAUUUAACGACACUGUCCAGAUAUCAAACUAAUCUCUUUGAUGCAAAAGCUUUAGGUUUCUGUACUGACAGGUUGUACCUAGUACAUUUACAAACAACAAUCUCAUAGAUAGGAAUUACAUUACAUGACCAGAAAGCUAAGUGAAAGAACACAAGCUAUGAAUUUGGAUAAUCUGUGAGAAAAAAUAGAAAUAAUAAUCAGCAAAACACUUCCCCCCCCCCCACCUAGUAUAAAAGUGAAAACAAUGGUAUAAUUUCUGUAGCUGGUUUUAGUGAAACUGCUGUACAGUGGGAAGUGGGAAGGAGCCUUUGAGUCGGAUAAAAUAUGUUUGAAAGAAACUUUCAGAGGUGAGUAAAGUACGUAUGCUGUACAUUUUUACAAAGAGCUCUGGAAAACAUUAGGAGACAACUUAAAAUGAUCAGUUUCUCUGAUCUUACUUUUUAUAGAUAGAUGUUUGAGUAGAAUGAACAUUGUUUUAUUAUUCUAUGAACUACUGACAAUAUGUUUCCGAAACUACAAGCAAAAAUUUAGUAUUUAUUUGCAGGAAAUGAGAAAAGGUCAAAAGAACGUAAAAGACGCAGACUCAGACCUCAAAAAUCGCAAAGAAAACAAGUUCAUAUUCAUUUAGAAACAACAUCAAUGAGUUCAGAAAUCAAUAUUUGGUGGAAUAACCGAGAGGUUUCCAAUGGGCUUCAGUGCAGUGGUCUAUUUUUAUUUUUUCCAGAGCUGUAUGUGUGUGACGCAUGACAGGUUUCAUGCAUGUAUGGAACUCAGAAUGAGGGCAACCCGAGGUGAAACCAUUGCUGGGACCUGCAGCACAGUAACAGAUCAUUUCCUUUCGUACACAAUCCAGUUUCACUUCUUGCUCUCACUGUAGCGUUUCUCCAUUCUGUCAAGCCUUAGCUAAAGCUGGCGGUGAUGUGGCUUCCUGUUUCCUGUUUGUUAUGUUUUGGUAAGCAAGUGAACCUGCAGCACUGUAUAACAGAUAACGUUGGUAUAAAUCAUAUGAGGCAUUAAGCAGUGCUGAGAUCAUGCAGAACGACCUCCGUCAGAUAUGAAAGAGGUACUGAAAGCGAUGGACGCUGUCUGAUGUUUAAACUAAUGAAAUUUGAUUCAUUGUCAAUUUUUUUUUUAUGGAGAAAAGUUCUAUUUUUAAAGCCACUUUAUCGGGCAUACGUGUUCAAUCGCUUGCUAACAUAAAGCCGAAGUCCACCCAAUUACCUCAAUUCAAUUCAAAAAUAUUUUAUUUAACCCAAACGGAAAAUAAAAUGUCGUCAUAGAUGGUGACGCUGUGGUAGCAGUCAGUCUUGCAACGAGUCUGGAGAAGCCUCUGACUGAAGACCGUUGCUGUAUGACAGUCUCAUGAUUGCUAUGACGUGCUAACAAUUUGAUAUCAGCAGAAGACAUUAUAUUUCUUCCAGACAACACCAACAGCAGUUGGCAAGUACUGCUAAUCCACCUCAUUUGCUUUUGCAGCUCAUCUUUAAGUCUGAGUCUGGUCAGAAAGCCGAGCAGAGAGACGCAAAGAGGAAAGAGGGGGACUUUUCUGGUUCUGCUUUGCUUCUCUUUCAACUGCUCCGGAGUUUGAGAUUGUGGUUCAGAUACUAUUUGACCUUUUUGAAAAGACAAAUGCGUAACUCGAUGCGUCCAGCUGUCUAGACUUGAUAAGGACGACUCAAUUAAGUUCUAACGGAGCUCCAGAACGGAGAAUAAAAGGGGGUUUAAUUGACUUUCUACAUGCUAUCUGGAGCUAAACCUCUGUGGCGCUGAUUCAACCGAAGCGUUUGAUUCAGUCAGUGAAAAAGAGAAAGAGCGGUUUUCAAGGCAACAAAGGUGGUGCUGGCAAGGUCUCCCUACUAAAGUAUCUGGUGAGUGAACAAAGGUUGCAGCUAGGUGUUUCUAUUUUAAUCACUGGUUUUCAGAUGUUAACUGAUGCAAAAAAGGGGAACUAAAGACCUGAAAGGUUCUGUUUUCUAUUGUCGGUCUAGAUGGCUGGUCUUAUCCUACACAUGCCUCGUCUUGCCACUAAGCUGCCCAUCCAUCCAUCAAUUUCUGGUUGGUGUGUGAGUGAAAAUGUCAACACAGGCGAUGGCAAUGAGUUACAUUUUAUUGAACGGGGACAACAUGUGUUACAGGAGCAGUGCUUCAAGGGUCCAAAUACGGGCCAUGUAGCACUUUGCUUUACAAUGUUAUUGUACAGUUGUUCCUGUUGUGAGGUUUGUCAUAAAUAUCCAAAGUAAACAUUUCUGGCGUUUCUUUACCCGACUACUCCCAUCGUUAAACACGACCUUAAAGAAAAUCUCCCACGCUAGCAGCAAGUUAGCGCAACUUAGCAUAAAGUCUGCAAAUGGCGGAAAUCGUGGCAUUUAUGUCCAGAUUCAAGAUAGGAAAAAAACAUUCUGUGUCUUACUUAAUGUCCAAAAAUAUUUACCAAAAAGAAAAGAAAAAAAAGAAAGAAAAGUUCAACAUAUU